GGGCCCGUGGCGCAGCGGUUAGCGCAAACGACUCAUAAUCGUUGGGUCGCUGGUUCGAAUCCAGCCGGGCCCA
rnacentral:tRNA from 2 species